rnacentral:rRNA from 1 species
UUGCAUUUUUCAUAGCGGAGGAAAAGAAACUAACAAGGAUUCCCCUAGUAACGGCGAGUGAAGAGGGAAGAGCUCAAAUUUGAAAGCUGGUACCUUCGGUAUCCGCGUUGUAACCUCGAGACACGUUUUCCGUGCGGCGCUAUGGACAAGUUCCUUGGAACAGGACAUCGUAGAGGGUGAAAAUCCCGUACUUGCCAUGGAUGUACCGUGCUUUGCGAUACGUGCUCUAAGAGUCGAGUUGUUUGGGAUUGCAGCUCAAAAUGGGUGGUAGACUCCAUCUAAAGCUAAAUAUCGGGGAGAGACCGAUAGCGAACAAGUACCGUGAGGGAAAGAUGAAAAGCACUUUGGAAAGAGAGUUAAAAGUACGUGAAAUUGUCGAAAGGGAAGCGCUUGAAGUCAGCCAUGCCGCUCAGGACUCAGCCUGGCUUUUGCUUGGUGUAUUUCCUGGGUAGCAAGUCAGCAUUGGUUUGGAUCGUCGGAGAAGCAUAGUCGGAAUGUGGCGCCCUCGGGCGUGUUAUAGCCUUCUAUUGGAUACGACGAUCUAGACCAAGGAACGCAGCGCGCCUUAUGGCGGGUCUUCGGACACCUUCGCGCUUAGGAUGCUGGCGUAAUGGCUUUAAGUGGCCCGUCUUGAACCCGGGACCAU